rnacentral:rRNA from 1 species
AUGAGGUGUGUAACCAAUGUUCGCUAUGCUGUAAGGGUUAACGGUGAGCUUACUGCACCUAUUGCUCCAUCGAGAGGAAUUCGUCAGGGUGAUCCUAUCAGCCCCUAUUUGUUUCUGCUCUGCACUGAAGGACUGUCAAUUCUGUUACUCCAAAAGGAGAGUUGUGGCGAGCUACAUGGCAUUAGGAACGGUCGUUCCGGUCCUCCUAUCUCACAUCUCCUGUUUGCCGAUGACAUUAUCUUCUUUGCUAGAUCUGAUGCUCGUAGCGUGGCUGCUCUGAAGACCACUCUGGAACUAUAUUGCUCUGGUUCUGGUCAGUUAAUUAACAAGGACAAGUCCUCUUUACUCUUUGGUCGUGGUUGUUCGGAGACUGUUAAGCAAAGAGUAAAGGCGAGUCUUGGGAUAUCUAACGAAGCCUUCAAUGACACUUACCUUGGUAUGCCUACCGAGGUUGGUAAAUCCCCUACUAGUAUCUUCAAGUUCUUGCCAGAUAGGGCUUGGCGAUGUGUUCAUGGAUGCAUUCUUGCUGGCCGUGACCUGCUCAAGAAGGGAGUUCAAUGGGGAAUUGGGGACGGCUGCCAGGUUCACAUUACUUCUGACCACUGGAUCCCUUCAUCUCCGCCUUGUGUUCUCCAGCCGCUCUCUCCUAUUCCUGCCAAUGCUAAAGUUAAGUGCCUUAUGUAUGAGGAAAGCAGGUCCUGGAAUGAAGCAACGGUGCGUGCCUUCUUUCGGAAUGACGUCGCAUGCGAGAUUCUUCAUAUCCCUAUCUACAAGCAUGGUGAGGAUUUUGUUCGAUGGCCAUUCACAAGAUUCGGGGAAUACACGGUGCGAUCAGCCUACAAUUUGGCUCAGUCUGCACACUUCCUGGAGUCUCAUAGUUCAAAAGGAAAGGAUUUGAGUUCCAAUUUUUCUUCCCAGGAAAAGGAUUGGAGACUGCUAUGGUCUAUCAAAGCACCGGGCAAGAUGAAAGUUGUCUUAUGGCGCUUUGCGCACAAUUGUUUACCAUCUGGGGAACAACUUAAACGCCGCCAGCUUGCACCGUGGCACUUUUCUGUCUCAAGGCAAUGGAUUUUUGACUUCUUGGCAAGGUCGUCUGAUCAGGUGCGUACUGUCCUAGUUGUGACCCUCUGGCAUAUUUGGGAGGCUCGAAACUUUGCGAGAAACAGUCCGGAGGCUCCCCAUCCACGACGUACUGCUGAGAAGAUCAAGGCUUAUGUCGCCCUUAUCCUGCAGCAUCUUUUCCUUCCAGUAUCUGAACAUAGGCGUGAAACCAAUGCGUCCAGCUCCGACUGGUCUCCGCCGCCGUCAGGUACCAUCAUGUUCUACUCAGACGCUGCAACUUUCUCGAGCCUGGAUAAGUCUGGCAUUGGGGUCGUCGGCAGGGAUGACAGAGGUCAAUUCGUGGUGGCCUGUAGCGAGCCGAUUGAGGGUAGCUUGGAACCUGAAAUGGCUGAAGCCAUGGCUCUUCGACGUGUUGUUCUUUUGGCGCAUGAUGUACAAGUUUCAGAUGUUAUCUUUGCCUCUGACUGUCUCUCACUUGUGCAAAGAAUCAACUCGCCUAUGAGUGACUGUUCUUCAGUUGGAGUGGUGGUGGCUGAUAUCAAGUCUAUGUCUGAAAGUUUCUCUUCAGUGUCCUUCAAGCAUGUUCGUCGGCAUUUGAAUGUUCCUGCUCAUGUGCUAGCUAAAUCAUGUAUGAACUAUUCUAGUCUUUGUGUGUUCCAUUCUGUUCCGGAUUGUAUCCGGCAAACUCUAUGUAAUGUUGUUCAUUAA